CCAGACUCCUACGGGAGGCAGCAGUGGGGAAUAUUGCACAAUGGGGGAAACCCUGAUGCAGCGACGCCGCGUGAGUGAAGAAGUAUUUCGGUAUGUAAAGCUCUAUCAGCAGGGAAGAAAAUGACGGUACCUGACUAAGAAGCCCCGGCUAACUACGUGCCAGCAGCCGCGGUAAUACGUAGGGGGCAAGCGUUAUCCGGAUUUACUGGGUGUAAAGGGAGCGUAGACGGUAGAGCAAGUCUGAAGUGAAAGCCCGCGGCUCAACUGCGGGACUGCUUUGGAAACUGUUCAACUGGAGUGCCGGAGAGGUAAGCGGAAUUCCUAGUGUAGCGGUGAAAUGCGUAGAUAUUAGGAGGAACGCCAGUGGCGAAGGCGGCUUACUGGACAGUAACUGACGUUGAGGCUCGAAAGCGUGGGGAGCAAACAGGAUUAGAUACCCCUGUA
rnacentral:rRNA from 1 species